AGUCCGUUAAUAAUCGCGCAGUACGCUCUCUCAACGGGUCAGCCAUGGCCUACCCUGGGUGGGAGGGCCGACCUGAGGCUGUUUUCUAGGCCUGGCUGCGCCUCCGCCCAGGGAGGGGCCGCCACGCCCCUCCCCAUUACCGCAGGGCAGUUUUCUCUAGGUCCGAAGAGGAGACUGAUGGGAAUCCCAUGUGCACCUGUUCUGGUCUCAAAGACCAGGCCCAGUGAUGUGCACGCGUUGGCAGAGAGAGGGGAAACAGAGUGAGACUUCUUUGGGGUUACUGUUUAGUUCUGGGCCUGGGGACUAAGAAUCUAGAGGGGACAGGUUGGGAAGUUGGGCUAGAUUUUUGCCUCCUUUUAAGGAGAAAUUGACACAGGCUACACAUAGUCCCUUGCAAGGAUUAGCGGCAUCUCCCGAUUGGACAGAAGCACUCAGAUUGGACCCAGACUGAUCCAGAAUUGGUACCAGCAGUGAAAAUUCUGGGGGUUCAGAGGUCUGGAGUAUGUUGAAAUAUCCCACCCAGGGUGAAAGAUGAAGUUCCUGCAUCUUGUAUCAUUUACAAGAAAAAAGAGAAAUGGCCAUGAGUCAGCCUACUGUGGAGUCUGAUCAGUCCUGAAGGCCAGCCUAGCUCCAGCCAUGUCCCAUCUAGAGAAUGAAGGUUCUGUGCUAUAUGCGUUAAAGAGUGAUUUGAUUCUCUCCUAUCACGGGUGAGAGGUUUUUCUCAGCAGGAAAAUUUGGGAAAUGCAGAUCUAGACAUUUCUGCUCAGCCAGCACUCCAGAGCUUGGGAGGAAGCCAGCUGGCAGCAAUACGGCCCCAACUCCAACCCCAGUUAAUCUAACAUAUCUGCGGCCUAUCUACGGGGUGACCCCAGGAUCCCACGUGCCCUCCUCUUAAAAGAUUUUCAGCAGUCCACAGGCCCCAGUUGGCCUCUAGCCUUUCCCAACUGCCUCUCUGUGCCCCUUUGGAACCUCCUCUGAGGGCCUCUCCUCCAGCCCCUCUCAAAGACCCUCAUCCCCACCCCCCUUUUUUCCCCAAGCUCCUUAAGGGCCUUACUGCCCUCAGGGGGUUCUCACACAGUGGUGCUUAAAAGGGUAUCAUUAGCCUCAUAAGCUGUUUUAAAAGUAUUGUCCCAAUCCCCGAGACCCUUUCAGGCGAUCCCCCAAGGUCAAAACUAUGUUCAUAAUAAGACUCUCUUUUAGUAUUUGUAUCUUUUAAGACUCUCAUUCUCUGGGGGAGGGAUCCAGAGGCUACUACUAUCUGGUAAAAGCAUCACCAAUGGAAUAUA